AUGAAAAAGGAAGUAAAAUCUCAUAUCAACUAAAUGAUGUUUGUUGAUUCAAAAUGUUCAACUUUUUAAAUAUUCCGUAAGUUUUGCAUCAAAAGUCUUUGAAAAGUCGGAUUAUUGAUGACAUUAGCCUACUACAGUAUGAACAGAACCUAAAUGCUAUUUAUCUAGGAGGAGAUAGAUAUAUAUAUCAUGGGUAAUAAGCAAAGUCAGCUAACGACAAGUGAGAAACCGGCGAGGCCUAGUACAGCACCACCAGCACCACGGGGAAGUGACAAAAAACCUGUUACCAAAAC